rnacentral:rRNA from 1 species
ACUGCUCAGUAACACGUGGACAACCUGCCCUUAGGUUGGGUAUAAACCCGGGAAACUGGGUAUAAUACCCGAUAGGUCUCGAUUGCUGGAAUGCAUCGAGAUUUAAAGCUCCGGCGCCUAAGGAUGGGUCUGCGGCCUAUCAGGUAGUAGUGGGUGUAGCGUACCUACUAGCCUACGACGGGUACGGGUUGUGAGAGCAAGAGCCCGGAGAUGGAUUCUGAGACACGAAUCCAGGCCCUACGGGGUGCAGCAGGCGCGAAAACUUUACAAUGCUGGCAACAGCGAUAAGGGAACCUCGAGUGCCAGGUUACAAAUCUGGCUGUCGAGAUGCCUAAAAAGCAUUUCAUAGCAAGGGCCGGGCAAGACCGGUGCCAGCCGCCGCGGUAACACCGGCGGCUCGAGUGGUAACCGUUAUUAUUGGGUCUAAAGGGUCUGUAGCCGGCCGGAUAAGUCUCUUGAGAAAUCUGGCAGCUUAACUGUCAGGCUUUCAGGAGAUACUGUCUGGCUCGAGGCCGGGAGAGGUGAGAGGUACUUCAGGGGUAGGGGUGAAAUCUUGUAAUCCUUGAAGGACCACCAGUGGCGAAGGCGUCUCACCAGAACGGACCUGACGGCAAGGGACGAAAGCUAGGGGCACGAACCGGAUUAGAUACCCGGGUAGUCCUAGCCGUAAACGAGACUCGCUAGGUGUCGGCCACGGUGCGACCGUUGUCGGUGCCGUAGGGAAGCCGUAAAGCGAGCCACCUGGGAAGUACGGCCGCAAGGCUGAAACUUAAAGGAAUUGGCGGGGGAGCACCGCAACGGGUGGAGCUUGCGGUUUAAUUGGACUCAACGCCGGAAAUCUUACCGGGACCGACAGCAAUAUGAAGGCCAGGCUGAAGACUUUGCCGGAUUAGCUGAGAGGUGGUGCAUGGCCGUCGUCAGUUCGUACUGUGGAGCAUCCUGUUAAGUCAGGCAACGAGCGAGACCCCCACC